rnacentral:rRNA from 1 species
GACGAACGCUGGCGGCGUGCUUAACACAUGCAAGUCGAACGAAGUGGCGAACGGGUGAGUAACGCGUAAUCAACCUGCCCUUCAGAGGGGGACAACAGUUGGAAACGACUGCUAAUACCGCAUACUGAAGGAGGGGAUUGCGUGAGAUUAGCUAGUUGGAGGGGUAACGGCCCACCAAGGCGAGGAUCAGUAGCCGGUCUGAGAUGAUGACCGGCCACAUUGGGACUGAGACACGGCUCAGACUCCUACGGGAGGAAGCAAGGGGGAAACUUCCGCAAUGGGCGAAAGUCUGUCGGAGCAACGCGGCGGGAGGGAUGACGGCCUUCGGGUUGUAAAGCUCUGUUAGUCGGGACGCGGUACCGGAAUAGAAAGCCACGGCUAACUACGUGCCAGCAGCCGCGGUAAUUC